CAGCAAUGCAACCNUAGACGGCGGAUUGUGAUAAANGGUGGUGAUUAACCNUGGNUGGGGAUACCAUUAGAAUAUGGGUAUUACGAAUACGGCCAUGGCGCUGUGGCGNUAUGAAGAAAGGAGUACGGUUCCCGCCCCGGGAUGAGCCCGGUCCCAUUAGCUAGUUGGUGAGGUAAGGGCCCACCAAGGCAGUGAUGGGUAGCCGGCCUGAGAGGGUGAACGGCCACACUGGGACUGAGAUACGGCCCAGACUCCUACGGGAGGCAGCAGCUAAGAAUAUUCCGCAAUGGACGAAAGUCUGACGGAGCGACGCCGCGUGGAUGAAGAAGGCCGAAAGGUUGUAAAGUCCUUUUGUUGCAGAAGAAUAAGUGGUGGAGGGAAUGCCAUCAUGAUGACGCUAAGCAAC
rnacentral:rRNA from 1 species